UACGUAGGGUGCAAGCGUUAAUCGGAAUUACUGGGCGUAAAGCGUGCGCAGGCGGUCGUUCAAGUCGAGUGUGAAAGCCCCCGGCUCAACUGGGGAGGGUCACUCGAUACUGAUCGACUUGAAGGCAGGAGAGGGAAGCGGAAUUCCCGGUGUAGUGGUGAAAUGCGUAGAUAUCGGGAGGAACACCAGUGGCGAAGGCGGCCUGCUGGGCAGUGGCUGACGCUGAGGCGCGACAGCGUGGGGAGCAAACAGG
rnacentral:rRNA from 1 species